GCCCAUCUAACAACCGCCCGACGCCGAAUUUCACUCCCGGGUGGUUUCCCUCAAGCCGCAGAACCGCCCGGCGCUGGUCAACUGCACUCUGGGCAACUUUUCAGCAUUAUGGUCAACUGGUUGACUUUUCUGGUUGACUGGUUGACUUUUCUGCACUUCAACCAUUUGAUAAUUCAACCAUUCUUUCAAAUCAUUCCAAAAACCUUUAUCAUUN
rnacentral:lncRNA from 1 species